rnacentral:rRNA from 1 species
GCCAGCAGCCUCAUCACCCUGCAGAUCACCACUGGCAGCCCCCUGGAGUUCAGCAGGUGUGAGCCUGGUCAGUACCUGGAUGGGAGACCUCCUGGGAAAAACUAAGGCUGCUGCUGGAA